AUCUGGAUAGCUCAGUUGGAUAGAGCGUGGUGCUGAUAAGGCCCAGGUUGCAGGUUCAAUCCCCAUAUGGGACA